rnacentral:lncRNA from 1 species
AAUUUCGGUUAUGACUUCAUUAGUAACCCGUAAUUAAUUAUAGAUAUUUUCUAAGUUUCAUGAAAUACCAUAUUAUUUAAAAUUAAACUUCAAUUCCAUAACAGAGGAAAUGGUGAAGGAUUUUUACUCAACUUGAUACUUGAAAGGUUAAACUGUUGACUGCGCCAGCUGGCCUUCCCCGGAUUCCCUAAAUUUUUUUUCGGGAAUCAAAACGUGCUACAAUUAC